rnacentral:rRNA from 1 species
CGGUUGUAAGCUCUUUGUUCCGGAGCGAACGGACUAGCGUGAAUAGCGCUGACUACUGACGGUACCGGAAGAAUAAGCACCGGCUAACUACGUGC